UUUAAACAGAUGUGUUUUGAGUUUUGUUUUGAAAAGGGUAAAACUGUCGAUGUUCCUGAUGUCUGGGGGAAGUGAGUUCCAGAGUCGAGGAGCAGAGCGGCUGAAAGGAAGCAUUUCCCCUUCAGCCUUUUUGUUGGAGAUGCUUUGAUCUGUUCAAUCACAGCUAAGAUCUUCAGCACUUAAAAAAUUUUCAUUUUAUCCCAUCAGCUCGCCCAGUCCUGUUUUUAAAUUUUGACAUGUUUUUUUUACAAGACCUUGACUGUUUUUGAAGCGACUACUUUGCUGUGGUGAUCCUUCGAGUGAUCAGGAGAGGACAACUGACACCUGACUUUUUAUGACGCAAAAACAGAAUUUUCCCUGCAGAUUUCCAGCUUUACUCCAGAAACUCAAGAAACACAAGCUCCAAAUCACUAAACCAGAUCUGUCUUGACAAUAAAAUAUAAAUUACAGAUUUUCUUGAUUUUUGCAGUAGCCUCUUUUCACAACAUCUCGUCUCCUCUUUCCCACCAAGGAUAUGAAAAGAUGUUUCGCAACAUAGAGAUAGAUGGGGAAAUGAAACCCAGUAAAACAUUCUCACUGUUACUGAUUUCCAUGUUAACAUAAGUGCAGCAACAUGAGUACAAUAUUUGUGCGUGGCCUUAACAUUUAUUACAAAACUAAUUGUCAGGGGAAUGUUUAGGAGAUAAACUUUAUCUGGAGCCUCGGUUUGAAUCUGGUAUACUGGGAGACGUGAUGUGAACAUAGACUGGAAUGUGUUAGAUAAGCUGCUGCCAGCCUUUCAGAGCAUUACAACCAGGAAGAGCCAGAGUCAAAGGUCACGCAGAUACGUACACAAAAGCUCCAUUCAGCCAUUUAGAAGCGUUCUCACUGUAAAUACAGUUCUCAAGUUCCAGGUUUCCACGAAGGGCUUUAUUAAUCUUCAGUGACCCAACAGCUGAUUUAUGACCGGGUUCUUCUGAGAAUGCAUCUAAGUUAAAGAAUAAAAACAUAAAAAAGGCUAACUACUGAAUAAAAAAGUUGUGCUCAUUCCAUUUUACAGAUAAGAGAAAUAGGAUCAAAUGCAUGAUUGGGUCAGAGUCCACAUUAGGUGUGGAACUGGAGCGGCGUAGCCUCACCCUGGUGACUCAGGCUGAAAUGAAAAAUCACUGCUUAACAUUCUAAGUAACCAUUUAUCAGACAUUGUCUGAAUAGAACAAUAAAUGUACGUUUGAAACUAUUUAAGUUGAUUGCAAUGAUGACUGAAAUACUCCAGCAGGAGAGGUGAAGGUAAAAGUCCAUCCAUUCUUCUAUAUUCUGCUUUGCAAAGAUGAAGUAGUAUUCUUCUCCACAGCGACACACUCCCCUUUGAGGCGUUCGAAGAAGUUUCCUAGCUAGAGAGGAUGGAUAACUUUCUGGUAAGUUCUGGCUCUGCCCAGGCGUCUCCCCCAAGAGCCGAGGUCUGCAGCCCACAACUCUGGAGCCACUAAUGGUUCUUUCAGUCUUCCACAACCUGGCUCUAAUUAAUUUAGGUAAAAAAAAGAUUUAGAAAAACCUAACUUAAAAAAAUGUGAAUAUAAUAAAAAUGCUGGUUAAAACAAUUUCAGUUUUUAUGGAAUUGCUGCCUUGAGUUUUAACAGCAGAAUGACCCUAAAAGUACCAGAAAUAUUUUUAGAUAUUUUAUUAUUAAUAUAUUUUUUCACAAUUUUCAACAAAUAUUGACAUCCCAUAAAAAAUAGUGUUUUUUUUUUGUUUUAGGGAAAAAUUGCAUUUAUUUUUUUUCUUAUUUUGAAACCUAAAAAUAGAAACAAAAUGAUGCUUUUAAAGAUCACAGCAAACAUCUUUUAAUGAAGAAAGAGAUUUGUGACUUUUUUCUCAGAAUCUGAGACCCUUUUCAAGUGGAUGUGAUCCUCUUCCUUUUUAAAAACUCUAAAUUGUAACGGUUGCAGACCCUUGUCUUGAGGGACAUGCAGGAGUCUCUGACUCCUCUGGGUGGGGAGAACUGUGGCUUCAUCACAUCCUCCAUCCUCACCUGAACCCAGUCCCCUAGAGGGAGCUCGUAUCAUUUACUUCUUCUCCAGACCUCGCUCUCUUUGCCAAGAUCCAAAUCUAAUGACCCUAGAUAAGGUUUGGAAUAUAUGGACCAGCACAUAAAGAACGAUCCUUUUCACUUCACUACUGACUUCUUCUCCACUACAGACUGGAGCAGCCCUCAGUUUUGUAGAUGAUACCCCAGUUCAUCAGGCAGUCCAUUGCUUUGUCCAGAUUUGUUUAUCACUUACAAACCAGAGACCAAGAUACUUAAACAUCUUCAACCAGAGGCUUCCUCGUACUAACAAGGGAGUAUUUCACCCUUUUAUGGACAGGACCCAUGGUCACAGCACCUUGGGUUACUGGUGUUUGGUCAGGCAUGGAGCAGGACUCAUUAGACCCUGGAGGUGUUGAGGAGCAAUGGUGGUAGGCUCAGAUUAUGUUUAAAGUUUAAUUAUGCCAUGGACGUAAUUUUGGGGGAGGACAGGGGGGACAUGUCCCCCCCCACCCCACUUUUCCCAAAGUCAAGUUUUGACCCCUGCACUUUUUACCAUCCAAAAACAACAUUACGCUAUAUUAAAUUGACACUGGUUGAGCUCUAGGACCAAGCGGAAAACAACCGUUUGUGUUGAAGCCUGUUUCCCAUUAGAACAUACUGGCUGUGUCUCAAUUCAGGGUCUGCAUCCUACCUCGGCCGGAUUCGUCGGCCGGUUACGUCACAGCGCCGCGACUCGGCCUGUCCCAAUUCGAAGACUCCUUCAAAUGCGGUCGACGAAUGCGGCCUUCUUUUCGCCUGAAUGAAGGAUGGGUCGGGUGUAUCCUUCAAUAGGUAGCAUUUCCCAAGAUGCCUUGCGGGCCGGCCGGCAGAAAAACUUAAAAACAAUGGCGGACAGUGAAGCGGGAGCUGUCGGAGAGGAUUGCGCAUAUAAAUGUAAGUAUAAACUUGAAAACUGUCAGUUUAAGGACUUUUUGUGAUACAUGAACGUUAUUUUAGUUAGAAAUGUUACAGUAAAAGUGCUUGUAUUGCGGUCUCGGCUCGUAUGUUCGGCCGCGCUCGGUGUCGUACUUCUCCCACUACGUUUCCCCCUGAUUUUAAUAGAAGUUUGUAUUUUAGGACCAAAAGAGAAAACCAGGGAAUUUAUUAAGCUUAGGGCGGAGAUGGACCACAUGAUCACCGGAGCAAAGUAUUCGGCGGCUGUGGCAUGGAGACUAUUCUGGAGAAAAUGGGCAUCCAGGGGAAGGUGCCAGCGAUGAGCUUCUGGAGCUGAUCUGGGAGGACAUGAGGCUGCAGAGCAGCAGAGAGCACAGGAGAGAAGGAAGAACUUUGACAGCUUUUUACUUUGCUAGAAAAAAAUGGUUAAUGAAGAUUAAACAUGUACAUGUAAAAGAAAUAUCUAAAUAAAAUCAGUUCUGCAUUAAA